CCGGCAAACGGGUGCGGAACACGUACACAACCUUCCUUAAAGUGGGGGAUAGCCCAGAGAAAUUUGGAUUAAUACCCCGUAACAUUAUGAGAUGGCAUCAUUUUAUAAUUAAAGCUCCGGCGCUUAAAGAUGGGUGUGCGGCUGAUUAGGUAGUUGGUGAGGGUAACGGCCCACCAAGCCUUCGAUCAGUAACUGGUGUGAGAGCACGACCAGUCACACGGGCACUGAGACACGGGCCCG
rnacentral:rRNA from 1 species